rnacentral:rRNA from 1 species
AACUGUAGGUAAUACCGGAUAAUAUCUCCGGAUCAAAGGUGUGAGUCCGCCGGAGGAUGGGUCUACAUCCUAUUAGCUAGUUGGUGAGGUAAUGGCUCACCAAGGCCAAGAUGGGUAGCGGGUGUGAGAGCACGACCCGCGUCAUUGGGACUGAGACACUGCCCAGACACCUACGGGUGGCUGCAGUCGAGAAUCUUCGGCAAUGGGCGCAAGCCUGACCGAGCGACGCCGCGUGUGGGAUGAAGGCCUUCGGGUUGUAAACCACUGUCAGUAAGGAGGAAGGCUCCGUGAAGAGCGGAGUUUGACCUAUUUGCAGAGGAAGCAUGGGCUAAGUUCGUGCCAGCAGCCGCGGUAAGACGAACCAUGCAAACGUUAUUCGGAAUCACUGGGCUUAAAGGGUGCGUAGGCGGUGCGGUAAGUUGGAUGUGAAAUCCCUCAGCUUAACUGAGGAACUGCGUUCAAAACUACCGUGCUAGAGGGAGAUAGAGGUGAGCGGAACUUAGGGUGGAGCGGUGAAAUGCGUUGAUAUCCUAAGGAACACCGGUGGCGAAAGCGGCUCACUGGAUCUUUUCUGACGCUGAGGCACGAAAGCUAGGGGAGCAAACGGGAUUAGAUACCCCGGUAGUCCUAGCCGUAAACGAUGAGCACUGGAUUGGAGGGUCCUCCAUAGCCCUCCAGUCGCAGAGAAAUUGUUAAGUGCU